rnacentral:rRNA from 1 species
CGAGAAUCUACUGAAGGAGGAUUCGUCCAACGGAAGUAGAGGAAAGUGGCGGACGGGUGAGUAACGCGUGAGGAACCUGCCUUGAAGAGGGGGACAACAGUUGGAAACGACUGCUAAUACCGCAUGAUGCAUAGGGGUCGCAUGAUCUUUAUGCCAAAGAUUUAUCGCUUCAAGAUGGCCUCGCGUCUGAUUGGCUGGUUGGCGGGGUAACGGCCCACCAAGGCGACGAUCAGUAGCCGGACUGAGAGGUUGAACGGCCACAUUGGGACUGAGAUACGGCCCAGACUCCUACGGGAGGCAGCAGUGGGGAAUAUUGGGCAAUGGGCGCAAGCCUGACCCAGCAACGCCGCGUGAAGGAAGAAGGCUUUCGGGUUGUAA